UACAGCAACUGGAGUUUCAAAAGUGAUUCUCUCCUUUCUUUAUUCAAACUUGAGAUUAUUUCUAAUACAAAGAGUAUCAACACUGAAAAUUUGACAGAAAAUAAAAACAGUCAAAAGAGUUGCUGCAAAUUAUUCCAUAAAUAGAUUCCAGGUAGCAUUCAUCUUUGAGACUCCCAAGUUCUUUAACCUGUGUGAUCUUCGACUUCAGAAUCUGGACCGCAUCUUAUCCCACAUUUGAUCUCACAGCGGCGCAUAAGUCUUGUGUUUGAUUGAACGCAGCCGGUGGUACAUGCGUCAUCGCAAUCAGAAGCAUCAGACGCUACGUUCUCAAAAUGAGAAGCGACCAUGCUCACAAUCAACACAGCAACCAAUAUUUUCCUCAUCAUUGUCCUUAGCUCAAUCUCUCUCUCUCUCUCUCUCUCUCUAUAUGUUUGCUUUGUGACCCCCCUCCCCGCAUUUCUUUUUUAUACAUGUCGUGUUAGAUAUUUUAGAGUUUCGUAAGAUUAAAAAAAGUAUUAAAUUGUGUACAGUUUAUAUUGUAUUGUUUCAGUCAAAUUGAAGCCAUCCAUUCAUUACCCACGGAUCUAAUCGCUGAACGUUUUUAUGUUUGCUGUAGUUCUUAACAAAUUUCUCUAUGAAUCAUCCAUCUCGUGUUCUCUGUUGCUCACAAUACCAUGUUGCUUCUUGUUGUCCAACUUGCAGAUCUGAGAUGGCUAGCCAUUAAUUAAUGCAUGCACUAGUAUGUCCAACUUGCAGAUCUGAGAUGACAAAACCUGAUUUUUUUUUUCAAAUCAGCCGUCUAUAUUGAAUGCUUUCGCCGACGAGAGACCAAGGAUAAGGUUUUGUCUAAUACACGGUUGUCGAGGGCUGCUGGUGUUACACCUGUAGCAGUGCAAGUGUCUGUGGUCAAUUCCAUCUUGGAGGUGUAACGUGGUUGUGCUAAGCGCUAACCCUAUCCAUGUUUCGUGUUUGCUCUCUUACUAUCGAGCAGUAGCCCAGCCUGGUAAGAACUUUUUGACCAUGCCAGGCGGUGCCCAUAUUUCCAAGACAAAGCACAAUAUUCAUAGUUGAUGAGCAAAAGGUUCGUGCUCCUUAUUAAAAGAAAAAUAAAUAAAUUUAAAGAGUGUGCUCCUUAAUUAUAUCUUAGUCAAUGCCAUGAUUCCUCUCCUUAUCUUGCCAUGACUGCAUGGUCCAUUGUUCUUGCUUCACUCCACAAUUAGUGGGCAUCCUGCUCUCCAAGAAAUUUAUUUACUCACAUAUCGAAUAUUUUCACUUUAAUGGAAUCUAUGGGUUCUAAACAAGCGUUUAGUACAAACAAAGAAGAGAAUGGUUGAAGAAGAAACAGUCCCACAGAGCUGAAAGUGCAUAAGAAAAAUGUACUGGCUUCAGCAAAAAAACUAGUAAUUUAAUCCAAAAUUAUCAUGUGCAGAACAAUAUACCUUUGUUCUCCAGGUAUAGCAGCUUCCUGUGAAGAUCAUCAUCCAUUGUAUGGGAAGUGAUGGACGCACUCCACGCCAUUGGAUUCCUUCUCAUUUCCCUCUCUAAGAUACCAAUGCAGAACCUGUCAUUGUUCGCUUCCUUAUAAGCUAGCUUGAAUAGAUUCUUGUAAUUUUAUAUUUUAUAUUUUGCUAAUUAAAAUUUUUGUAUUUCAAUUUUCAAUCUCUAAAAAUUAAAAUAGGUUUCGGAUUUGAUUCAUUUUUAAGUUGUUUUUAUUGAAUUUUAAGGUUCAGGUUGGGUUCUAAGAGUCUUUUGAAAGGAUUUUGAGGCAUUUGAGAUGAAAAAUAAUGAAAGAAAAUGAGCCUUUUUUUUUUUUUUUGUAAAAAAAAAAUAGAGCAAUUCCUAAUUUUUCAGCGGCUUUAAAGUCAUCAAAAUUGUGAUAGUGGAUGAUCCGUUGGCGGAAAAAAAAACAUGCACUUAUGGGCUAACUCGAUGGCCUAGGCGUUUCAUCACCGGGGCCUAGCAUGUAUGUCCCCAUUUUUCUUUUUAAUUCUCCAAAAUUAAUUUAUAUUUUUAUAAAAUAUUUUUUUCAAAUAUAUUUUAGAUGAUUUUGAUGUUUAGAAUUAUUUAUAAUCUUUUAAAUACUUAUGGUGACAAAACGGUUAACGUAAGACUGGAAUUUAUUUUAUAAAUAAUUAUAUAAUUAUUAUAGCUUCAAAAAUCUUUAUAGUGAAUCGAAUAUAGUCCUCCAAUAUUUACUUGAAUCUUACAAUUUAAUUAAAUAUUGUAAGAUGUUAAAGUUAAUACAAGGAUACUUAUAGUCCGUUUGCUUUUAUAUAAUAAAAGUAUUUUUUUAAUUAAUUUUUUUAGUGUUUUUAAAUUAUUUUGAUGUUCUAAUAUUAAAAAUAUUUUUUUAAAAAAAUAUAUAUUAUCUCAAUAUUUUUUUUUUAAAAAAAUUAUUUAAAAAUAAUCAUUACCAUAAUACCAACAUCAGAUAUAUUUUAAAAUUUUUAUAUCAUUUACAGAGUCUUUCCUGAUAUUUAUUUUAAUUAUUAUAAAAUUAAAAAAAUAAUAAGUUAAAAAACCAGUAGCAAGUUAGCAAACAGCAAGCAAGCUAUCUAGUAAAAAAAAAGAGUAUCAGCUUAACAUUGGCACCUUUCACAAUAGCUGACAUGUCGUUCAUUAAUUGUUGGGUGUCGUCAAUACCAGCACUGAACCUAGAUGAUAGGACCACCUAUGGCAAACCAAACAGGCAAUGGAGGCAGUGUUUUUUCUGUGGGUUUAGGUUGCUUUUAAAAAUAUUUUUUAAAAACUAUUUUAUACUAGAAAAAUAAUUAAAUUGAUAUUUUAAAAAAUAUAUUUUUUUAUGAUUUUUAUGUGUUGAAGAUAAAAAUAAUAAUAAAAUUUUUUAUGUAUUUUUCAAUUGAAAAGCAAUUUCAUAAAAGUUUCAUUUAUUGUAUUAUCAAACGCACUUGUAGACUGUUUCAAAUUUCUAUAGCUUUACAUAGUGUUAGGGCAUUUUUGUUAAAUUAAAAUUAAAAACAAAAUAAUAAUGCUUAGUCUUUCAUUGUACACUCUAAUUUAUUGUGUUGCGGAUUGAAACGAUAAAAUUUAACCUUUUUUGAAAAAAUCGAUGAAUUCUAUUAUAAUAAGAUUUUUUUUCAUGAUCCUUGAUCAAAAACAACUCUAUCUUUUUAUAUUUUUACAGCAUAGUUAAAUAAUUAAAUUACAUUCAAAAAUAAAAUUUAUUUAACUAGUAUCUAAAUGCUCUUUUUUUUUUCCCUUCAAAAUUUCACCUUUUAAAACACACUAAAAUAACUAAAUUACUUUUAAAACAAAAUCUCUUUAGCCUAAAGCACAACGGCUUUUCUAUAAUUUCACCCUAGUUUUUUUUUUGUUAUAACAAAAUUAACUAGGGUGUAAUUUGAUAAUUUAAUAAAUAUAAAAUAUUAUUAAAAAACAAAACUAGUAGGUAUGAGCACUCGUUGACAAGUGGAGUGAGCCCAUGCUACUCAAAUAAUGCGUGAGUGUUUGUUUGGCAGCCAAACAAUAGCUUUCAAGGUGGCAUUCUAAUUGCCUUGAUAACCCCUCCAUCCUUAAGCAGCUCGAAUAGCUCAUCGAUCUCCGGUUUGGUGUUAGUGACUUCUUUUUUUUCUCCUCCUAAUUUUCAUGUCUAAUCCUUCAAGUUCUCAAGGCAACCCUUCAAUUUAUUUUCCUUUCAGAUUUGAAUUCUAUUCUUUUUAUUAUUAUUUGUUUUAUUUCAAAUAAUUUAUAAAAUUGGAAUAUUUUUAGUUUCACGCUCCUUUAAUAUUUUCAUCUAUGGAUUUGGUCCAUAUUAUUUUGAUUGCUAGUUGUUUUAUUUGAGAUAAUUUUUAAAAUUAUAUUAUUUUUUUACAUUGGUAUUUUUCUUAUAAAAUCUAAUCUUCAUUUUUUUUAUUGCUAUUUUUUUACCUUGGUAAUUUUUUUAAAUUGAUAUUUAUUUUUUAAUUUUAUCAUUCAACAUUAAAUUGGUUGAGAAUUCAGCUUCAUGAUUUAGCCCGAGUCUAGAAUUUUAUGGGUUGCAAGUUUAGGAGAUUCAUCAAGGUUUAUUUUUUUUAAAAGCUUAUGUUUUCUCAAUUUCAUCCUUCAAUAUUUAUUUAACAUGACAUUGGAAUUCAUUAUUUGUUUUUUAUUUGCUUUCCAUAGGAUUUUUCUUUAAUUUUGAAAAUGACUUGUGUUAUUCGAGUCUUUUGAGUUGUUGUUAUUUGUUAAAUUUAUCUUUGUUUAAAAAAAUUAUUUUUGAAUUAAAUUAAAUUAAUUGAUUAAACAUAAGCAUGAAAUGCUCACUUCAUGAUAUUAUAAUAACCAUAUAAAAAACAAGUUAAAAUAAAUUAUCAACUCUAAACCCCAUAAACAUAUCAUAUAAGAACUAAAAAAAAUCAAUAACCAAAGAAAAAAAAAGUUAACAUACAAAGGAAAAAAAACAACACUAGUUAUUGAUUUUUUUAGUUCUUUUAUAUAUAUAUAUAUAUAUAUAUAUAUAUAUAGAUUUUAGAGUUGAUAAUUUAUUUUAAUUGAAAAAAUAUUAAUAAUUUAUUGAUUUAUAUCCAACAUAAUUGUAUAGUUUUGUAUUGUUUUCUUAGUAUCAUUCAAGAUUGAUUUUAUGAGAUACAUGUAAGGCAUUUUAAUUUUUUUGAAAAAAUUAAGUAUGGAGGAUUGAAAAAAAAAAAAGUAUGGAGGAUUGAAGAUUAGCUAUCCCUCAUCACCGAUUCCUUUAAAGAGCAUAUUUGGUCUCAUCACCAAAAGAUACAUAAUGUAUUCAGAUAUACAUCUGCUUGUUUCAUAUUCUUUGGAGAUAAUACUUCCAUCUUUAUCAAGAAGAUAACAAAUCUUUGUUGCGAGAUGCCAUACAAGAAUGCUCCGACUGAAUUCUACUUCAGUCGUGCACCCCUUGUAGUCCCGUAACAGUCACUCUCUUUCUAGCACACCAUCUCCCCUCUGACCAAGAUGUAUUGCCUAUAAUUCUAAAGCUCCUGCAAUCAGCUUUAGAAUGCAGUGAUGAGUCGUAUCUUCUGACUUCAUUUCUGGGAAUAUGAUGUUCGAGCACUGAACUCCCGAAAGGUUUGAAUCUGUAGCUCACAUUUACCCUUGGAUUGGUGUGUUAUCAAUACUGCAACCUCAAAACAGAGAAAAUGUACCAGAAAACUACUGCAGGAUAUGAAGCCCCUGAUACAUGGACAACGGAAUCUGGUUCAAUCAUCAAAACUAUUCCCAGAAAUUAUUCAACUCAAUAGGCACAUUGAAAAUUUUGUAAGAACCCACCCGGUGAGGUGCAAGACUCCAUCAAUACUGGCUUGUAUAACUCGGAAUCCUUUGCCUGUACCAUGUUAGAAGGCAACUCAAGAAAAGAUUAAAAUUCCGCAUAAAAAAGAUUUCAAGAAGAGCUUCAUGCCUGUUAUAGCAGCAAUGCAAGGACAAUGGUACCAAAUCAAUAAUUAAAAUGAGAGUGAUGAGCAUUGUAAGGUGGCUUGAUAGACACAUCAAAUUUCAUGGAAACUUAAUUGCAUGAAUACGAUGAAGUACUCUUUGAAAUUGAAACAAGAAUCAUAGUUAUAUAUUUAUCCAGAUGUAUAGCAGAUCAGAAACAAGGCAGCUUACCUUGUCCAGUUGAAUAAACGGAUUGACAAGUGAAGCAUCAGAGGAGGCUGGCUUUUCUUACGUUAAUGGAUUGUCAUAUUAAGCUCUGCUUCUUGGCACCUCUCUGUCUAGAGCCUCCCAUCUUGGACCUGAUACUUUUUCCAGGAAAAACCUGUGUAAGAGGAGAGCUGCUUGAGAUGCCUUGAGAACAUGAAAAACAGCGUUCAACGCCUCUCAAGAUUAUUUUUUAGGAAAAAAAAAAAACCUUCAUUCUAAAAGAAAAAUCCCUUCUCUUCCCCUCAUCUUUCGUGCUCAAUCACCCUGAAAAAAAAGCACAGCCACCACAAUUCUGAAGCCUCGGCACCACGACCAGCGUUAAAACCCACCAAAAAUAGUGGCAAUAAGAGGUGCAGAUGGAGGAAGACAGUGAACAACCACUGCCGAUACCCACAUCAGAUCUCACCGUCAUGAAGUCUACCUCCCUCAGUGAUCGAUUAAAUGCGAUUUAGUUUCAUCAAAUUUGGGUUUCUUUUGAUUUAUGGGAGGUUCUUGAAAUGGGUUUAUGUUGGAUAAGUGGAUUUGAAGUAAUCUGGAGAGGGAGAGAUAGUAUUUAAAGAUUGUUUUAGGAUUUCAAGCUUGAAGAUUGCUUGAAGAUUUAAGUCAAAAGACCUGAAUCUUAGGUUUUAAAAACACUGCCAUCAUGGUGAUUUUUUUUUUUUUUUUACAUUAAAAAAAAAGAUUUCUCAUUUUCAGAAGCAAUUAUGAUAUUAAUAAUUUAGUAUUUUUAUUCUUCAAUCGAUAAACACAUGUUUUUCUGACUACGGAUACAACAUAACAAAAUCUUAUUGUUGAUAAAGAUUGAAUAAUCCCUUGAUCAUCAGUUUGUGCGUGCUGGUGAACCUCCUUAAAGAGCACGAAUCCCAUGCUAUGGAGUUGAUGCACCUAAAAAGGACCUCAGCUGCUCAAGCUCUCGCUCUUUACGCUCAAGCUCUUCGUCUUUAUAUGCUACCAUCCUUUUCAGUUCUUUCACCUCCUUCAAAAUAGUUGUAAUUUUUUAUUAAUCUACGCAACUUUUUCUUAUUAAAAAAAAAGAAAUUAAGAGUUUUUAUGAAUUUCAAGUUAAUUUUCUCAUUCCAAUAUAUAGAGGUAAUUUCACUAAUUUCCUAUUGUUAAUCAAUCAACGUUUGCUAGCAAAUUAAGUGCAACUUUGUGUGGUGUAAAAAUUUCAAUUAAAAAAAAAUAACAAUAAAAAUAAACAAAGUUGGUAUAAAAAUAAAAUAAAAUAAAAUUUUAAAAAUCAAAAUAAAAUAUAUAGCAAUAUUCAAAAGAUUGAGAUCAAAUUUGAUAUAAUUAAUAAAUAAUAAGAUAUUUUUGAAAUUUUUACAACUUCUCAAAAGUAUUUUUUACUUCAAAUAAAAAAAUUUAUUUACUGAAAACCAAACUAAAAUUUUCUUGUCACUAUAAAUUAUUUUUCAAAGAAACUUUUCUAACAAUAAACAUAAAAAAGUUUGAUUCUAUAGCCAUAGAAUCCAAACAGUAAAAAGGCAGUGACCAUUCGACAGUUUAUUUGAGGAAAAGGAUAGCGAGAAAGGAAAUUGGCAUCAUACCUCAUUGGAACUUGACGGUGACAUGUCUGCAUUACCUCUCAGAUAUCUAUCAAUGGCCCCACGAUAUUCUUCUUCCUCCUUUAUAUUUUUUGUUGAAAAUUGCGGUGAAACAUCAUCAAGAUUGUUGUCAAGAAUUAAAGUAGUCAUCAGUUAACAUAAUCAAAUAUCUAAUAUUAAUAAUUUACUCCAUAGUUUUCUUAGACACAAAGAUCAAUAUAUGGUAGUCGAUGGAGAUAAUGUACUCGAGAAAUAUUUUUGGUAGACUUUACCCAUGGCAAUUCCAGAUCAUGACCACGUACGUAGUCAUUUAAUGAAUUGUAGUCUUUGAAUGAAUUGUAUUCAUACUGUUCGCUCAAACCAAGAUGUAGCAUGAGAAAGCAGACAUGGUUGAGCAACUCUCCACCUCUUCUCAGUUGUUGAGCGUCUUCUUUCCAUGGAUAAUGAGCUGCUGCAUAAGCAAGCAUUUCCAUCCAAACUUCCUCCCUGCUUGUCGCCGGGCCUUUAGUGGGAGCUUCCUCCUUACUUAUGAUGCUAUCCAAGUCUCGCCGUUGUAAAUAUGAUGCAGUUACUUUGGAUCCAUUGAAUUAAUAACCAUCCCUUCAUAAUUGCAUUUUCUAUUCUCCAAAAAAAUCCCUAUAGUCUCUCAAAAAACUCAUCUGCGACGACUCCCACCAACAACCAGCACUUAAGAACAAAUGAAUCAUUGUUUACAUAUUUUUAAAUUGAUAUAUUAGCCUCAUAAAAACUUCUCAAUUUUUAAAUAAGUACCUGAACUAGCUAGUCUAAGAAGCUGAAUGAGUCAUCAUAAGCACAUGAUGAUGUGGUGGCUCUUCCACAAAUCUGCAAUUAGUAAGUUGAACUCCUGGUAAUUACGUUUCAAAGGCUGACUAAGGGAUGACAGUUCACCUAACAGCUUUGAACAAUUUAAAGCAAAGAUAAAUUAUAAAUACAAUUAAACACAAUCACUAAUUAACAGCCAUCAAUGUAAUUUUUUCAAUUCAUGCAUGCAAAAUAAAGCCCCACAAUACUGUUUCUAGUAGGAACUUAUUUAAGUUAAUUCACUUAAAUAAUUAUGGACACUACAUAACAAAAGCUACUACUCUUAUUCCAUGCUUAAAUUGAUCUCUUUAUUGCAGUUAAUCCCUUGAUCAUCAAUUUGUGUUGGCAAACUUCUUGGAAGUGAAUCAAUUCCUUGUUGUGGAGCUGAUGUAGUUAAAGAAGAUCUUAGUUGCUCAAGCUCUCGAUCUUUGUUGUAACCCAUUUUUGGAUCCCCCUGAAAAAUAAAAUAAAUAGCCAAAAGAGGUUAGGAAAAUAACAGGGGGCAGAAGCGCUCGGAAAACAGUCAGAAAAUUGGUCAAGGAAUUUAAAAAUACAAGGAUUGAAUUUUUGACAGUAUAUUCUUCAAGGAUAAAAGCCCUAUUGAGAAGGAAAAUUUGAAUUUUGAGGAGAAAAGCCCGAAUUUGGAUUUUAUGGACUUAAUUGGAUUUUUAUGGACUUAAUUGGAUGUUUAUGGAUUUAAUUGGAUUUUUAUUUGAAUUUAUAGAAGAUUUGAUUGCAAGAAAAAUUGAUUUUUAAGUCAAUUUGGGCUUUAAUUUGAAGAAAUUUAAGUUCUGGGGCCAAAAUAUAUUUUUUAGGAAUUUAUUGGGUCAAAUCAGGGGCUUAAUUGCAUAAAUAUUGAAGUUUAAGGGCCAAUUAGGGAUUUAAUUAAGAAAAUCCGAAACCAGGGACCAAAUUGGAAGAGGCGCGUAAAUGGAGGGGCUGCAAUUAUUCGGUUCAGGGGCCUAAUUGAAGAAAUUGAAAGUUUAUUAAUCAAUUGAGGGCUAAAUUGCAUAAAUCAGAGACCAAGGACCAAAGUGAAAAAGGCGGCCAACAAGAGGGGCGGGGACCGAAUUUGGAGGACUGAUUUGAAGUUUGACCCAUUUAAAUGAAACGGCGCGUUUUAUCCAAAACGACGCCGUUUCAUAUAUAUAAAAAAAAAAAAAAAAAAGGAAGACAGAACGGUGUCGUUUUGAACGACACUGUUCAUCUUCUCCUUUCCCCCGAUAAACAGAAACAGAGAAAACCAUUUUUUGUUUUUUUCAAAACUUCCCGCCUCUCUCUCCUCGCCCCCACCACCACCACCGAAAGCAUCAAUGGCCGACCAGCCGUUGCGUGAUUGAAGGCGCACUAACAAAAGGCACGCCGUUCCUUUUUUUAUAAAUAGAGAGAGGCCGAAGAGAGAGAGAGACCCGAGGAUAGAGGGAGAAGAGAAUAACGCACGAAGGAGAAGGGAGAACAAAACAAACCGAAAACAAGAAAAACGAAACCGAAAAGGGAAAAACUGAGAAGAGAACCGAAAAAAAAAAAAAAGGAAGAGGGCCACUGUUAGGAUCCGCAGCAACACCACAGCGCCGCCGUCCUCGAGGCCACGACACCGCAGCUCCACCAACGAUCGCCUCCACGCCAGGUGCACAUUCCUCCCCCCCUGCAUUUUUUUUCUUUCGUUGGUGUUCGUCUGGCCUCCUGCAUGUUGCAUGCAGGAGGCGGGGGGGAGAAAAAUAAUUCUCCCCCCCCGCUGGGCCGUAAGGCACUGGGCCAGCCCGAUGCUGGCCCAGCCUUGCAAGUCUGGGCCGGUCUUGGCCCAGACUGUAGAAGUUUUUGGGCCGAGACCGGCCCACUUUAGUUUUGGGCCGAGACCGGCCACUUUAGUUGCGGGCCGAGACCGGCCCGAUAUCAUUGCGGGCCGAGACCGGCCCGCCCCCUUUUUUUGGGCUGAGCCUGGCCCAUUUAUUUGGGCCGGCCCAGCCCUAUAAUAUAUUAUAUAUUAUUAAUAUAUAUAUGUGUGUAUAUAUGUUAUAUAUUUUUAUAAAAAAAAAUAUUUUGAAAAAUCUUAAAAAAUAUUGUGAUUUUUCUGCAUAUUUUUGUCAAAGUGGUUUAAUGUUGGUUUGUAUUUUUAUACUGUAAAGAUACAAAACCAGUGUUAAAAAUACCCGGUUUUCGUCAAAACAUCAAAGAUUUUUCAGAAUAAAAAAUGUUUUUGCUUUCAAAAAAAUUCUAAAAAGUCCCUAAAAAUAUUGUUGAUUUUUCUGCAUAUUUUUAGCAAAGAGGAUUAAUAUUGGGUUGUAUUUUUAUACCGUAAGGAUACAAGCUCAGUAUUAAAAUACCCGAUUUUCGUCAAAGCAUAAAAAAAAUAAUAUUUUCCAAAAAUUGUUUUUGUUUUAAAAUACGGCCUAGUCUCUCCAAUAUAUAUAUAAAUAUUAUAACAUCAUAUUUUCACACAACAAAGAAAAUUUUCAAAACAAUAUAUGUAUUAACAUGCAUUUUGGCUUUAAUAACCAGUUUAUUCAAGCCAUGAGAACUAGGCCAAUAUUUCAAAAAUUCUAAAAAAAAAUCUUUUGUUUUUUUUAGUAUUUGGGAUUACGAAUUUAUACGUAAAACGUAUUCCUAAAUAUUAUUAAUAAAUUUUGGUAUGACGUUAGAACGGUUAGGAUUUUUACCCGAUAAGAUAAAAGACUUCUUACCGAGGAGGAUUUUUCUUGAACCAUAGACAGACCAACAACUAGAAAACACAAUAACACCUUAGUUUUUUUUUAUUUUUAUCAGACAAUAAAACAAUGCAGCUUACCUUAGGUAGGGCGUAUUUGGGGUGCUAAUACCUUACUUUUACGCAACCAGUCUCCGUACCCGAUCUCUGAGACCAGUUAGGGUUCCUAGUGACCAAAAUACUAGGUGGCGACUCCAAAGAACCAAAUCAAACCAAAUAAUAAAAAAUUUCGCCAGUCGAACCCGCAAUUAAAAAAUAUUUUUUUGGGGUGCGACAAUCUUUAUGCUCAAGCACUCGCUGUUGAUGCUUAAGCUCUUGAUUUUUAUGCUCAAGCUCUCGAUCUUUAUACUCAAGUACUCGUUGUUGACGCUCAAGCUCUUGAUCUUUAUCAGUUACAAUUUUUUCAAGUUUUUUCAACUCCUUUAAAAUAGCAAUAUUGUUAGCUCGACAUGAGUAAUUAACAAAUAUUUGAUUAAUUUAUGCAAAUUAUUCUUAUUUAAAAAUAGAAACUAGGAGUCUCAUGAAUUCAAUUUAAUUUCUCGUUUCAAUAAAUAUAAAGGUAAUUUGACUAAUUUCCCAUUAUUAAUUGAUUAAAACUUGCUACCUAAUUAAGUACAUUAAUCUUGUUUUAUAUGCAUGCAUGCAUGCUGUUCGAAGGAGGCAAAUUAAGUGCAACCUUGUUUAAAUAAAAGAAUGUGUGGUGUAAAAACUUAUGCAACACAACGUGAAUAUCAAAAAUAGCUUAUAAUAUUAAGAUUAUUGGUUAGACGACAGACUAUUAAAGGCCUUGGACAUUGAAUUUAGCUGAAGAGAAAGAGUGGCACAGUGCAAAGCAUGGAAAAUUAACAGGUCAUCAAUUUGUCUUUUCCUUUGAAAAGAGAGAGAGAGAGAAAACCUCGUGUGCCUCUGUCUGGUUUGUUACUAAAAAAAAUUUCAUUUGAUCAAGUGUAAAAAAUCAACAAGGCUGGACACGAUGAUAAUUGUACUAACUUGUAAAAGUUCUACCUUCCAUUAUUUGAAAGGAGAUAUGUAUGUAAUACAAUCAAACAAUUUGAAUAUAAAGAUAGGUAGAGUAUUAUAUAUCUGACCUAUAUAUUGGAUCUCCAUUUUCGAAUUUACAUGUAUAUUUAAUUAUUAUAUAUAUUAUUUAAGAAUAAUUUUGUGAGAUAAUUAGUGUAAAGUAUUUUGAUUUUUUUAUGGACAAUAGACUUUUUUUAAUGAAAAUGUACCAUGCAAAGAAUUGUAUCAUGAAUCUUUAUCCAAUAUGGAAAACUAAAAAUUAGCUUCGAUUGAUGUUAAUGCAAGUAUAGAAUUACCAAUGUUACCCUAUCGUUAAAAAGCUUAUUGUUUAAAAUUGGUUUUUGAAUAUAUAUAUAUUUUUUGGAAAUGUUUUUAAGUGUUUUUAUGCAAAAAAUAACAUCUAUAUAUGGGUAUAUGAGAGGAAGUAAAAGAGAAAUGUAAGGAAAAUUGAAAGUUUUGAUAGUUAUUUUAAAAAAGAAAAAAAAUGGAAACUAUUUAAAAAAACUAUACGGUAAAUUGAAAGGUUUUAAAGUAUUGAGAUGGAAGUGAAACAUACCUCAUCGGGACUCGACUCUACCAUGGCUGCAAAACCUCUCAUAUAUUUAUAUCCAGCCUCCUUAUAUUCUUUUCUCUCCUCCUUUUUGUUUUUAUUGAAGAUUGUGGUGGAACAUCAAUCAAUUUAUUGUUAGAAAUUGAAAUAGUUGUCAGUUAAUAAAAGCAAAUAUAUAAUAUUAAUCAUUUAUUCCAAAUUUUUAUUAGACGCAAAGGUAUCAAUAAAAGCAAAUAUCUAAUAUUAACCAUCAUCCAACUGUUUUAAAUUAAAUGACACGCAAUUAAAAUCACUUUAUUAAUAAUGAAGAAAAAGAAAUGAAAACAUUCAAAUGGAAUUUCCAAAAUAAUGAAUUAAACAAACAUAUAUAAAUUGAAAUAAUCUGAUUUGUUAUUUUAUUAUGACGCCUAAAAAAAUGCAGUAUUUAUCUACGUACUUAAUUGAGAAGGAUUUUUGGUAUACUUACCUCUGUCACAUCAAGAAACAGCUCGUCUGAUUCAUUAUAGUUGUACUGUUCGCUCAAGCCAAGAUGUAGCAUGAGAAGGGAGACAUGAGUGAGUAACUCUCCACCUCUUCUCAGUUGUUGAGUAUGCUCUUUCCAUGGACAUUGAGCUGCUGCAUAAAUAUGCAUUUAUAAUCUCCCGUCGCUUCUCAGGUCCCAAUCGCAGCAAUUGGCUGGCGAGCCUUUCCACGCCACGUAACACUGACUUUUCUAUUUUCCAGGAACGUUCAUCAGGAUAACGAUCUUUUAGACUGUUGCGCAAUUCUCGCAAGGCAUGUUGAUACCCCUCAUCAUCAGGACCACGAUCUUUUAGACCCUGCAAUUCUCGCAAGGUACGUCGAUAUUUUCGACCCUGAAAUUCCCCAUCUUUUAGACCCCGCAAUUCUCGCAAUGUUGUUAGAUAUUCCUCAUCAUCAACGAAUCCUUUAGAGAGCAUAUUUGGUCUUAUCACCAAAAGAUACAUCAUGUAUUCAGAUAGGCAUUUGCUUGUUUCAUAUUCUGUGGAAACACUACUUCCAUCUUUAUUCAGAUAAGCAUCUGCUUCUUUCAUAUCAUCACAAUAACAAAACUCUGUUGCGAGAUGCCAGACAAGAAUGCUCCGACUGAAUUCUACUUCAGUCGUGCACCACUUGUAGUCCCGUAACAGUCCCUCUCUUUCUAGCACACCAUCUCCCCUCUUACCAAUUAUUUUACUUCUGUGAUUCUUAUCACAGACAUUCAAAUCUUCCUUAAUCUUCUGAGCUUUCUCUCGAAGAUGUUCGAAAAUAAGACCUUGCAGUUCUCCAUUCAAAUCUUUCCGAUCCACAUGCAUCUGCCUCUUCAUUUCAUCGAUUCCCAGCAAUUCCAAGCAUCUAUGUGGCUCGCUUUCGAAGGAAGAGCUUAUCAGGUUAUACUGUGAUAUGGAUCUCGACCACCUCUCGCUUCUAGUUAACUUCCUUAUCAGAGAAUAAAUUGCACCAGUCAAGGCGUUCUCUCCUUCAUCAAUCAACCAAAUCACUGUCCAGUCAGACAAAACAAGGCAUGAAAAGGCAUAAAACUCGAGAAAAACUGCGGUCGCAAACAAUAAGUACGUGAUUGCAAGGUCGGUCGUCGUUGAGUAGUCAUGCUUGUCAAUCUUGACCUGGAAGGUAAUAAACGCAGUAACAGAGAGCAGAGAGCUGAUACAGCGAAGAAUGAUUCCGCCACGGGAGUAAAUCAGAGGCGCUUUAGUGUAAAGCAUAUCAUAUAUCAAUCCAAGCUCAGCCUCUACCACCUUGAAGGCACCGUCUGCUGUAUUUUUUGAAAUCAGGUCCCUGCUUCUUAUUAGUGCAGGAAUGCCAACGACAAGAUCCUGCAUCAUAAACUUGGAUAUAUAAGAAAAAACAUAAGCUUGAAGAAGAUAAUCUCGCUGGUGGUCUUGUGGACGAGUUUUUGAUAUUCUCGUACGAUCAUAAGAAUCCCGAAAAUCUGAAAAAUAAGAUUUUUUCAAACUCUUGGAGCAUGAAGACCAGAGCACCCAAGUCCUCUCUGCGUACUUCGCAAUGCCAACAACGAACAUUGGGAUCGCUAUGAAUGAGAGGAUACCGCUACCCCAGGACCUUGAGAAGACAUAAAAAGCCACCCCGACUUGGAAUACAAGACCAAGUAAAUGCCUUAACCACAACUCGUUAUCUUCAAUUGAGUAUGCAGUGAUUGUGUCUGGGCCACCAAGGUGCAGGAGUAGAAAAGGUGCCCAAAAUGCCUGGAUGGAAUUGUUUGCUUUCUCUGAACUGUCACCUGAUGAGUCUCCUUGGCUCCUGGCUAGAUUACCCAAUGCAACAGUUGCCACCAUGUCUGCUGAUAGGUAUGCAGACCAAACGAGAAUCCUGAUCCAGCUUCUAGCAUCUGUCUUUCGCCGAGACCCAAAUACGAUGAGGAUGGUUUGUAGUAAGAGACUAAGCAAAACCAUUCCUCGAAUCUCCCAAUUGUUCCAUAAAUUUAAGACUUCUUCAGGCAAUUUUUUAAGCAUUGUCAUCUUUUCCCCAACUAUGGAAACUAGUUCUCUCAGUAAACCCUUGAAAAAACAGUUUUGUAAGAUGAAAAGGUAAAUGUGGAUAUCUUUGAAAAAAUCUCUUAAAAUGAACAGCGAAAAUUAAAGACUCUUGUGAGAAAAGAAGAGGUGCAGAUGGAGGACGACAAUGAACAAUUCUGAAGCCUUUAUUAAAUGGAACUUAACAGGACAUGUCUGUAUUAUUUCUCAGAUAUCUAUCAAUAACCUCACGAUAUUCCUCCUCCUUUAUUUUUGUUGAAAAUUGCAGGCCCACACGCAAAGACUUUAUUAAAUGGGCCAAGCGCUGGGACAAUACCUGGUACUUUCCUUCUUUUUUCUUUUUUUUUUCUACAUGUUGUUUGUUUUAAUUAAUGCCUUUUCUUAAUAUAUGUUUUUUCAGAAUGAUUUUUAAAUUUAUAUUUAAAUUAACACAUCUUCUCUUUUCUUCCCUUUAUUUAGCCUCAUUUAAAUAGCAUUAUUUUUUAUUAUUUUAUAUGCAUUUAAUUUUUAAAGAGAUUAUUUUAAUUCAUAUAUAAUUGUUUUUAUGUUUUAAAUAAAAAAUAUUUAUUUUUGGAUAAUAUUUCUAAUAAAUAUAACCUUGCAUAAUUUUUUUUAUUCAAUCAAUUUUAUAUUUAUCUAUUUUUAUUAAUUUUUGAAUAAAUAAAAAUUUCAUUACCAUGUGUAAGUUUUUUUAUUUACACUUAUGUUUGUUUGAUAUACAAAAAUACAUUGAAAAAGCUUUAGUAUAUAAUUUUUUUAAAGAAAAAAUAAUAAUUUAUGACGGAUCACCAGUCAAAUAGAUAGUAAAUAAAUUUUAAAAAAUUGGUGUAAACUCGCCUCCUUCACUGUUUAUAUGAACAACGAAGGAGGCCUUUUUGCAUUUUUCUAUUUUUAUUUUCUUUUUGAGCAUGCGUCCAAUAUUUCUUUGGUUUGUGUAAUUCAAAUGAAAUAAUAUUUGUUGUCGAAGUCGACCUUUAUUUCCCUCCCACGAACGCACAAGGAGUUCACGUGACCAGUCGAGUGCCAUAAAAAUAAAAAUAAAAAAAGUCAAAGAAAAGGGAGAGGUAGGGGUGGUGGUGGGGUCAAUCACGUGAACCAGGCAUGGGAUGUUGGGGACUCCAAGCCUUUCGUUUCCCAUUGGUAAUUUUAUUUGUGAUUUUCUUCCUUUAAUACAAUAUGGUCGUCGCUAUUAGUUGUGUCCUCAAGCUUAUAAGGAAGCGAACAGGGACACGUUAUGCACUGACAUCUUAGAGAGGGAAAUGAGAAGGAAUCCAUUGGCCGGGAGUGCGUCCAUCACUUCCCAUACAAUGGAUGAUGAUCUUCACGUGAAGCUGCUGUACCUGGAGAACAGAGAAAUAUUGUUCUGCAAAUGAUAAUUUUGGAUCAAAUCACUAGUUUUUUUGCUGAAGCCAGUACAUCAUUCUUAUGCACUUUCAGCUCAAUGGGACUGGAUUUUGCUUUUGGAUUGCAUUGAAUUGAAAAUUUGCUUCUUUUUCUGGCUUAAUCUGCAUGAUUUUGUUCCUGUUUACAAUUAACUUGGACGUGACUGGACACCUAGCUCGAACAAUUGAAUUUCGAUCAAGAACUAAAGAUAUUGACAAAAGGUAUCAAGUUCAAAUACCUACCACCUUUUGAUUUCACUGCUCACUUUAAUAUUCGGUUUCAAUUCACCAGUAUGAGACCCUUAUCUUCUCUAUUAAAAACUAUAUUUUAAUAGACAGGUUAUGCAUUGAUAUCUAAGAGAGGGAAAUGAGAAGGAAACCAAUGGCUGGGAGUGCCUCCAUCACUUCCCAUACAAUGGAUGAUGAUCUUCACAUGAAGCUGCUAUACCUGGAGAACAGAAGUAUAUUGUUCUGCACAUGAUAAUUUUGUUCCUGUUUACAAUUAACUUGCCUUUUCUCCUAAGAAUUUCAAGAUUAAUAUGCCAAAAGCUAAAGUUUUUUGUUAAUUUACUGAAAUCUCUUUCUUGCACAUAGAGAGAAAUCCUGCAAUGAUAUCUUCAAAUACUCUAUUGAGAUACCUACAUGUCAACAGUACUGAUCUUCUUCCUGCUUUAUCCGAGCUUUAAAUUCCUUGGUUUGGGUGCUGGGGGUGUCCUGCUAGCUAUCUUGUCUGCUCUUCUCCAAAUAGGAGCUUUUACCAUGCAAUCUUGAUGAAAAUAGAGAUUUUUUUAAUGGCAUUUGAUGCGCACAAAGGUGAAGGCAUCCCAUUGAUUUAUGGCUUUAGCGCCUUUUGUUCAAUUAUGAUCUUGAGAAGUGAAGCAGAUUGAUUGUUUUAAAUGAUUAAGUAAUUUUUUUCUUAUAAAAAAGUUAUUCUAUUACUUGUAUUACAUGUUAGGCGUGAAGUUAAAGUUCAUUUAAUAUUUCUCUAUCUCAAUAUAUUUUUUAAAAAAAAUAUUAACUUAUUUUUAUUUUAAAAUCAAAUCAUAUUUUUAUAUUCAAAUCUAAUAUUUUUUUAAAAAAAUAUUAACUCAAUCGGGUCAUAUUUAUUAAACAUGGUUUAAUUUUUUAUAUUAAAAAAACUAAUAUCAUAGCAUCUAUUAAUAACUCAACGCUUUAGCGCCAUUAAACCCACAUUCAAAGAAACAACGAAAAAAGGUAACUAGUUCUCCAUAUUCUUUUUGCGAGAUUCUAUGCAAAAUUGGCAAAAAGAAAAGAAAAGAAAUUGCUCAUUUUUAGGACCAACUAUGAAAUUAAUAAAUUAUUAAUCUAAGUCUUCAACAGAUGAACACAUUUAAAUAAUGAAUAAAAAUGAUUUGCUCAUGUUAUCCGAUGAUAAAUUUUACGAUUUGCACGUCCUAAUAUGUUUUAGUUAACUCACUUAAAUAAUUAUGUACAUAACUUGGAGAGGUAGACCUUUAGUGGCAUCCCCAAGCAAGAUGUCUCUAAUAGUUGUAGUAUAUUUAUCCUCCAAACUUGUUUAAGUCUCAUUAUGUUUUUCUUAAGAUCAUAAGCUUGUGAGGUGUCAGCUCCAUCAAAACAUAUUGCAGCGAUAGCAUCGCAUUCGGCUUUCGCCAUUAUAAAUAUGAUGCAGUUACUUUGGAUCCAUUGAAUUAAUAACCAUCCCCUCACAACUGCAUUUUCUAUUCUCCAAAAAAAUCCAUAUAAUCUCUCAAAAAAAAUCUUCUGUCGACGACUCCCACCAACAACCAGCACUUAAGAACAAAUGAGUCGUUAUUCACAUGUUAUUAAAUUGAUAUAUUGACCUCAUAAAAAAAAUUUAAUUUUAAAAUAAAUACCUGAACUAGUCUAAGAAACUGAAUGGAUCAUCAUAAGCAAUGAUGAUGUGCUGGGUCCUGGUAAUUACAUUUCAACCAGCGUUAAAACCCACCAAAAAUAGUGGCAAUAAGAGGUGCAGAAGGAAGAUAGUGAACAACCACUGUCGUUACCCACAUGCAUCAAAUCACCGUCAUGAAGUCUUCCUUCCUCAGUGAUCGAUUAAAUGCGAUAUGGUUUCAUCAAAUUUGGGUUUCUUUUGAUUUAUGGGAGGUUCUUGAGAUGGGUUUAUGUUGUUGGAUAAGUGGAUUUGAAGGAAUCUGGAGAGGGAGAGAGUACUUCACUUAAAUUUUCUUUUAACUAUGAAUUAUUUUUCAAAGAAACUUUUCAAACAAUAAACAUAAAAAAGUUUGGACUUUGGAUUCUAUAGCCGUAGAAAAACUUUUCAAUAAUUGUUGCCUCGGACUCGACAACUUUUCAAUAAUUGUUCCCUCGGACUCGACAAUAGUCAUGCAUUGCUGUUAAACAAAGCCAUGUGCAGCAAAAAGGCACUGACCGUAUAAAUAAUUGGCUUUGCACUGUUCCAUUCGACACUUUACUUGAGGAAAAGGACAGCGAGAAAGAAAAACUUUAUUUUUGUUGAAAAUUGCAGGCCCACACGCAAAGACUUUAUUAAAUGGGCCAAGCGCUGGGACAAUACCUGGUAUUUUCCUUCUUCUUUUUUUCUUUUUUUUUUUUCUAAAUGUUGUUUUUUUUAAUUAAUGCCUUUUCUUAAUAUAUGUUUUUUAAGAAUGAUUUUUAAAUUUAUAUUUAAAUUAACACAUCUUCUCUUUUCUUCCCUUUAUUAGCCUCAUUUAAAUAGCAAUUAUUUUUUAUUAUUUUAUAUGCAUUUAAUUUUUAAAUAGAUUAUUUUAAUUCAUAUAUAAUUGUUUUUAUGUUUUAAAUAAAAAAUAUUUAUUUUUGAAUAAUAUUUCUAAUAUAUGUAACAUUGUAUAAUUUUUUUUAAUUCAAUUAAUUUUAUGUUUGUCUAUUUAUAUUAAUUUUUGAGUAAAUAAAAAUUUCAUUACAAUGUGUAAGAUUUUUUAUUUACACUUAUGAUUUUUUUUAUAUACAAAAAUACAUUGGAAAAGCUUUUCGUAUAUAAUUGUUUUAAGGGAAAAAAAUUGAUCUAUGGGAGCGCGGGUCAAAUAGCAUCAUAAAAUUUUCUAAGGUUUAUAGUCCUUUAAAAAGGCUAGAAAACUAACCUAAAAUAUAAAAUAAUAUAAAUAAUGUGUACAAAAUAUCAAACCACAUCAAUCCAUCUAAUUUUCCUUUUUUGCUACUCUUUGUUUUGUUUAUUCUUUAGCCUUCGUCUUAUUUACUAUUUGUUUUUGUAUUUAAAAUUAUAUUUGACUUAAAAAUAUUAAAUUAAUAAUUUUUUAGUAUUUUUUUAAUUAAUUUGAUAUUUUAAAUAUUAAACAUAAAAAAUAUUUUUAUAUAUUUUUAAAUAAAAAAUACUUAAUAAUAAAUUUCUAGCUAUCUUUUUUUUUUGCUUAAUUUAAUCUGUAUGUCGUUUUAUAUUUAAAAAAAAAAAACAGCAGUAGAAGAAGAAGGAGGAGGAAGGUACUAAUUUAAUGCAUAACCUUUUUUUUUUCUUCUUUUUUAUUCCUUGAUAUGACACAUUCUGCAGUAAUGUAUAUUUGUUGAUACCUUACCAAAAAAUACUGCCAGUGAAAGUAGUCGGGUAAAAAUUUAUAGCAUGUCUUUAUUAUUAUAAUAAUUAUUUUUUAUUUAAAAAUAUAUUAAAAUAAUAUUUUUUAUUUUUAAAAUUUUAUUUUUGAUAUAAUAUAUUAAAAUAAUCUAAAAUUAUUAAAAAUAUAUUAAUUUAAAAUAAAAAUAAUAAAAAAUCUAAAAAUACUUUUACAACGUAAAAACAAACUAACACUUAUAAAAGUAAUUUUUUUAUAUAUAAAAUUUCAUCCCAUACUAAUGAUUUCUUAGCAUGGCCAAUGGGGUUAAAGAAAACAAAAAAUCAAUUAAAUUGAAAAAAUAAAAAAAUUAAUUAAAAAAAAAAUAAGCUGAGAAAAAUAAUAUCAAAUUAACCAAUUAAAAAUUAAAAAACAAAACCUGUAAGAUUUGAUUUUAGUUUAAAAAUUUUAAAAUUUAAUGAACACGACCGGACCAAAAAGCUAACUAGGGGAUUAUAAUUUAUCCACCAGCUUGAACAAUUCAAAACAAAGAUAAAUUUAUCCGUCAUGAAGUCUUCCUUCCUCAGUGAUCGAUUAAAUGCGAUAUGGUUUCAUCAAAUUUGGGUUCUUGAGAUGGGUUUGUGUUGGAUAAGUGGAUUUGAAGGAAUCUGGAGGGAGGGAGUACUUCACUUAAAUUUUCUUUUAACUAUGAAUUAUUUUUCGAAGAAACUUUUCAAACAGUAAACAUAAAAAAGUUUGGACUUUGGAUUCUAUAGCCGUAGAAAAACUUUUCAAUAAUUGUUGCCUCGGACUCGACAAUAGUCAUGCAUUGCUGUUAAACAAAGCCAUGUGCAGCAAAAAGGCACUGACCAUAUAAAUAAUUGGCUUUGAACUGUCCCAUUAGACACUUUACUUGAGGAAAAGGAUGGCGAGAAAGGAAAUGGCAUCAUACCUCAGUGGAACUUGACAGGACAUGUCUGUAUUAUCUCUUAGAUAUCUAUCAAUGGCCUCAUUUAAAUAGCAAUUAUUUUUUAUUAUUUUAUAUGCAUUUAAUUUUUAAAGAAAUUAUUUUAAUUCAUAUAUAAUUGUUUUUAUAUUUUAAAUAACAAAUAUUUAUUUUUGGAUAAUAUUUCUAAUAAAUAUAACCCGGAGAACAAUGGGUAAUGAUCUUCACAUGAAGCUGCUAUACCUGGAGAACAGAAGUAUAUUGUUCUGCACAUGAUAAUUUUGGAUCGAAUCACUAGUUUUUUUGCUGAAGCCAGUGCAUCGUUCAUAUGCACUUUCAGCUCUAUGGUACUUGAUUUUGCUCUUGGAUUGCAUUGAAUUUAAAUUUUGCUUCUUUUUCUGGCUUAAUCUGCAUAAUUGUGUUCCUGUUUACAGUUAACUUGCCUUUUCCCCUAAGAAUUUCAAGAUUAAUAUGCCAAAAGCUAAAGUUUUUUGUUAGUUUACUGAAAUCUCUUUCUUGCACAUAGAGAGAAAUCCGGCAAUGAUAUCUUCAAAUACUCUAUUGAGAUACCUACAUAUUAAAAUUACUGAUCUUCUCGCUGCUCUAUCCGAACUUUAAAUUCCUUAGCUUCAAAUAGGAGCUUUUAUGCUCUUUCUAUUUUAAUCUCCUAAUCUACCAAGCAAUCUUGAUGAAAACGGAGAUUUUCUAUAUGGCAUCUGAUGCGCACAAAGGUGAAGGCAUCCCAUUGAUUUAUGGCUUUAGCGCCUUUUGUUCAAUUAUGAUCGUGAUUGGUUCAAAUGGAUAUCUAUCAUCGCUUCUAAUUAAAUGUAUGAUCAAGUGUUGUGGUGUACAUCACAGUGGCAUUUGCAAGAUUAUUCUUCCCUACUGAAGUCAAGCUAGCCAUGGACAUUGGACAUGCUGCAACAACACCAGAAUUUGUUGGUCUUGCUGCUUCAAAAGGUUCUAACGGGAAUUUGAGGGAGCUUGACCUAGAUGAGACACCAAUAACGCAGAACAUAAGACUUCGUUCUAGGAUGGAAGCCCUAACGAAAACAGGUACAUGGAAACUAUGAAUCCUUCUGUUUCAGGAACCAGCAUCAGGACAUGUUAUAAUGUGUUAUAAUUACGAGGGUCCUAGAAUAUUUUAAUCUGAUUGACUCAAUUGAAUUCCCAUGAAGUUGCAGAAUUGAGCAAAUCAAAUAUAAAUCUUGUGGCUUAGAAAAUACAAACUAUUUAGUUUUUGCAAUUAUUCUCAUAUUAGCUGUGUUUGUCAUGAUGGCAGUUGAAAUGGGCCGACGAUACUUCCCCAAUUGCUCCCAAGUGCUCGAUAAGUUCAUGGAGGAUGACCUUCCUGAUUUGUUUUACCAUGAAAAGGGCACCCCAGAUGAACAAAGAAUCAAGAAGACACGUUUCAUGGAGCUUAAAGAGGAUGUUCAAAGGGCAUUUACCAAAAAACAAAAAACUAUGAAUAUUGUGCUUUGUCUUGGGAAAACAAAAAACUAUGAAUAUUGUGCUUUGUCUUGGGAAAACAAAAAACUAUGAAUAUUGUGCUUUGUCUUGGGAAAACAAAAAACUAUGAAUGUUGAGUUUCGGUCCACAACAAACAAGGGACGAACACACUGUUCCAUCCCAUUCAUACAGGACAGGACGACCGUGAGUAUCUAUGCAACCAAAUCAUCUGCUGAACGUCAAGUCAAUGGUUCAAGCUCCAAUGGUGGCUUUAGCGCAAACCAGCCAGUUCCAAAAACUCCAUUAACCUUUCGAGCUAUUUGGCAGAGGUGUAAAAUGGAUUGACAGGCCCAUGGUCAGAACAAGCUUCCAAAUAUGGGCAGCGCCUGGCAUCGUCAAAAAGUUCUUAAAAGGCUGUGCUACUGCUUGAUGGCAUGAGUGUUUAAAAGUGUGGUGGAUGUUAUUUUAUAAAAUGUUUUUUAUUUUAGAAAAUAUUAAAAUAAUUUUUUUUAUUUUUUAAAAAUUAUUUUUUACAUAAGUACUUGAAAAUAAUCUAAAAACAUAAAAAAUAUAUUAAUUUUAAGUAAAAAUAAAAUCAAUUUUUUUCAACAAUAUUUCCAAAACGUAAUCUCAAACAUUGCAUUAAGUGAUCUAACACGCCACAUGACUUGUGCUUUGUUAUGGGUUAAAUUUUUUUAUUUUUCAUAAAAAUUAUUUAUGUAGAUUUUUUUUCAAUGUAUUUUGAUUGUUAAAAAAAAUAUAACAAAUCAAAAAAUUUAUGUAUUUAUAUAAUUAAAUAAACUAAGAAUUAUGUAUGUUAAUAAAUCAAUAAAAAAUUAUUAACAACACUUAAAAACAAAAUUUAAAAAACUUAAGACAAAUGUAAAUCAAGAUAUUAAAUCUUAAAAAAUAAAAUAUUAAAUUGAUUGAAUAAAAAAAAUUAUAAGUUUUAAGAAAAUCAUUUAAAAAUAAAUAUAUUUUAUUUUCAAAAAUAUAUUUUAUUAAAGACAAACUAUAAAUAAAUUAGGAAAAUCACUUUGAAAAUAACACCUCGUAGAUGGACCGAGCGUGUUUGGAGUGUAAUUGCUGUUGUUUUUCAAAGUGUUUUUCGCUUAUAAAAACAUGCUAAAAAUAUUUUUUUAUUUUUUAAAAAUUAUUUUUGAUAUUAGUAUAUCAAAAUGAUUUGAAAACAUAAAAAAUAUAUUAACUUAAAAUAAAAAUAAAAUUUAAAUUAUUUAAAAAAUACUUUUUCACUACAAUGCCAAAUACACUUGGAAUCGACCACCGACAGUCGCGCUGCUAUAGUUGUAAAAUUCCAGCCGCCCUCGAUAACAGUGUAUCAGUCAAACCUUAUCCUUGGUCUCUUGUUAGCGUAAGCAUUCAACAUAGAUGGCUGAUUUAAUUAAAAAAAAGGGAUAGAUGAAGGAUUUUUCUAAAAAGAUAUUUUUUAUGUCUUAGAAUAUUUUUUUAUUCAUAAUUGUUUAAAACAAGGGUAGAGAAUUUGGGAUAAUAAUACAUGUUAAAAAAAAUAUCUAUAAAAUAACAUAGUUUUAUGUCUUAGAAUUUUUUUUUAUUCAUAAUUGUUAUUUAGAAUAAUAAUUGCAUUUCAAAAUAUAUUUAUUUAAUAUAUAUUAUUUAAUAAAUAUAUUUUUUAACUUAAUUAACCUCUACACAAAUCAAUUAAAACUUUUAUAAAAUUUAAAGGUUAAAAGAUAAGAUUCAAAAUACAAUACUUUUAAUUAAAGCUUGUGUUUAAGUACUAUUCUUAAUAACAAUCGUAUUCAAACUAUAUUAUUUUAUUAAUACUUUUUUAAUAUUACGAAACUCUAAAAUAUCUAACACGACAUCUAUAAAAAAGAAAUGAGGGGAAGGGGGUCACAAAGCAAACAUAGAGAGAAGAGAGAGAGAGAGAUUGAGGACAAUGAUGAGGAAAAUAUUGGUUGCAGUGUUGAUUGUGAGCAUGGUCGCUUCUCAUUUUGAGAACGUAGCGUCUGAUGCUUCUGAUUGCGAUGACGCAUGUACCACCGGCUGCGUUCAAUCAAACACAAGACUUUUGCUCCGCUGUAAUAUCAAAUGUGGGAUAAGAUGCGGUCCGGAUUCUGAAGUCGAAGAUCACACAGGUUAAAGAACUUGGGAGUCUCAAAGAUGAAUGUCACCUGGAAUCUAUUUAUGGAAUAAUUUGCAGCAACUCUUUUGACUGUCUUUAUUUUCUGUCAAAUUUUCAGUGUUGAUACUCUUUGUAUUAGAAAUAGGAAGGGAAGAGGGGGAUUAGGGCUAUUAAUUUGAAUAAAGAAAGGAGAGAAUCACUUCUGAAACUUCAGUUGCUGUAAGAAAAAAUUGUAGCCUUUUGUUCUUGAAACUUGAUGAUCAUCAUUUUAGACACAGAAAAACACAGAUUCAUCUAUAUAAGGCACCAGUAAAGUACACACUGCAAUCUGCAUCGUGGAACAAGCAAUUAAAGGAAAUCAUGAUAAACGAAGUGGAAGAGGAGAGAGGCCAUAUUGUCAUCUUCUGGAACGAAGAACCAGAAGAAAUUCCUCCUAAAACAUCAAAACAGCAAACAUCUUUGGGUGCGAGAGGGCCCGAGUUCGAUUCUCGGAAUGCCCCAUCUUCAACAUAGGAGUUUUACCUCGUAUGUUCUGAUAUUUCUGGUUUUGCCGACAAGAUUCUAUGAAAAUAUCUUAUCUUUUGGCAAAAAGGAAAAGCAGUGGACAAGAUAGAAAGAUUCCCGCAUCAAGAAAUAUGAGUGGAAAAUAUUAUUAACAACUUGCACUCAGGCCAACAAGGUGAGUUUACAACAUUCAUGGUGACCAGAAGCUACCACACCACUAGACAGCGCCAUGCAUAAAAAACUUCAAACAAUUACAAAACCAAACACAUUUUUGACAGCAAACCUACUUUAGAUGAAACAUUUGCAAGUGCUCUUCGCAACAAACCCCAAUGAAUCGAUGAGCAUCUAUAUAUAUAUAUAUAUAUAUAUAUAUAUAUAUAUAUAUAUAUAUAUAUAACAUUGACCUAUCAUCAAGAUCCACAUCAAUAAUAAGAUGGUUCUACUUGUCAACACUCCUAAAAUAGGUACCUCAAUCAUGUCUACCUCGAGAUUCUAUAUAAAAAAAUAUUGUUAAUGUUUGUAAUUUAACUAAAGUUAACAUAAUUUAAAAUAAAUAUAAUGAAAAAAGCUUAACUGUCGCGAGUUUUGCUACAGAGCAAGAGGAGAGUUCGAUCGAUCGAGAGAGGCAGGCUGUUAGAGAAUGUUUUUGGUGGAGAAAAGAGAAAUCUUAGGUGAAGUCCUCUACAACUCACUAGUGUUAUUUUUUUUUUAUUGCAUUCAAAAAUAAAGAAACCUGUCAGACAACCGCAUGACCAUUCCCAGCCAUGUUAUGGCUGGGAAACGAUCCUCUACAGCCAUGAUGAUCAUGAAGGCCUUCAAGCCAUUAUUCACGCUAUGAUCACACGGUCAUGAUUCCUCAACCAGGUUUAAGUUCCUGUCUCCUUAGUGAUUAAGGAUACAGAGGUACGAUCCUAUAGAACAGAUCCUGUUCAAGUAAGGUCGUGUUGUUCUGUGCUCCUCGAACAGUUUAUUAACUCUCUUGUUUUUUCGUUCUUUUCUGAUGUGGGACAAAUCUAGUUCUAUUUUGUUCAAGGGUGUUUUUGUCCUAAAGAAAACGCUUUGUCCGUCUUUUUGCUUCUUGCUACGAGCCCCGCGGCCCCGGUAAUAUCCAAGGGGAGAGUAGUGAUAUGAAAGUACGAGGAUGACCCUCAGCUACUGCGGCGCUGCCUUUGUGGUGGUAUUUUAGAAUCCCGACCGGGGACUAUCUGUUACUGUUUUGGAGAAAACAGCGUUCUUGCUGAGGGUGGAGCACGUUGAAAACUCAGAUGAGAUGACAAGAUUUCUAAAAACGUUUCGAGGUAGAGGAAAUCAAUUACAAGAGAGGAUGGGUUGCCUGGUACAAACUGGUUUGGACUACAAUGUUGUCUCCAGCUUCAUUAAACAAGUUCCAAUGGUGCCAAACCAGACCAAAGAUGCACUUGAAAAGAAGAUUGAUUGCAUGACAAAUUUCCUAGGCUACUCGGUCAACUCACUGGAGGAAUUCCCAGCAUAUUUAUGCUAUGAUUUUGAGAGGGUUAAACUUAGAUUUCGAAUGUAUAUUCGGCUGAGGGAAAAAGGUGCAGCAAAACGCAAAGUAUCGAUGGGCACAAUCCUUGCAUGUUCAUGUGCAAUUUGUAAAAUAUUAUGUAGAUGUCCACCCUGAACGACCAGCUAUGUGGGAAAGUUUAAGGAAUGCAUCAGCUUCAAGCCAAGGCUAGUUCUGCAUUUAAAUUGUGCACAGUUUAUAUGUAUUGUUUCAGUCAAGUUGAUGCCAUCCAUUCAUUACCCAAGGAUCUAAUCGCUGAGCGUUUUUUCUGUUUGCUGUGUUUUAACAAAUUUUUUAUGAAUCAUCCAUCUCAUGUUCUCUGUUGCUCACAAUACGAUGCUGCUGCUUGUUCUUCAACUUGCAGAUCUGAGAUGGCAGGCAUUAAUUAUUGCUGUUUGAUGUUUUAGGAUUCUGAGGAACUUCUUCGUUCCAGACGAUGGCAAUACGGCCUCUCUUCUUCCACUUCGUUUAUCAUGAUUUCCUUUAAUUGCUUGUUCCACGAUGCAGAUUGCAGAGGUACUUUACUGGUGCCUUCUAGCUUGAUAGAUGAAUCUGUGUUUUUCUGUGUCUACAAUGAUGAUUAUCAAGUUUCAAGAGCGAACGGCUACAGUUUUCUUACAGCAACUGGAGUUUCAAAAGUGAUUCUCUCCUUUCUUUAUUCAAACUUGAGAUUAUUUCUAAUACAAAGAGUAUCAACACUGAAAAUUUGACAGAAAAUAAAGACAGUCAAAAGAGUUGUUGCAAAUUAUUCCAUAAAUAGAUUCCAGGUAGCAUUCAUCUUUGAGACUCCCAAAUUCUUUAACCUGUGUGAUCUUCGACUUCAGAAUCCGGACCGCAUCUUAUCCCACAUUUGAUAUCACAGCGGCGCAAAAGUCUUAUGUUUGAUUGAACGCAGCCGGUGGUACAUGCGUCAUCGCAAUCAGAAGCAUCAGACGCUACGUUCUCAAAAUGAGAAGCGACCAUGCUCACAAUCAACACUGCAACCAAUAUUUUCCUCAUCAUUGU
rnacentral:lncRNA from 1 species